CCCUUACUCCAGAGCAAGGGCUGGGAAGUCUCCUACAGCCCCAGCCCCGUACAGUUGCUGGCAAUAAAGGGGUUACUGAGGUUCCUGCAGAGUGCCUAAGGCUCUUCCUUAGGAGACAGCCUUCAGAAUAUAGUAAAAGAAAGGUUGAGAGAGUCUCUAGUUGUUCAAAAAACUUCUCUCCUACUCUGCUCCCAGGCACUAGCUUGCUUGGUCACUUUGUGCUAAAUGCACUACAACUACCCAGGAGGCAGCAAGCAGCUUUCAUGAAUCUGGCCAGAGGAGUAGACUCAGCUCCCUGCAUAUUACAGCCAAAUUGACUCCAAAUCAAGCAUGUUUAUUUGAGCUCUAUUCAAUACUAUUCUGCACCCUCAAGGGAAACUGAAGGUCUCUGGGUCUGAAGACAAAACAAUGUUGUUGCUAAACCAAGGAGCCAACCAACCAUGGUAUCAGCCACCUUUCUAGUCAAGAAGAAACAAUAGAAUCAGAAGUCACCUAAUUUAGGAAAGCACUGCAGAAGACACUAACUGGAUCAAGAAAGAGUGAACUUGGCAAGGAACCUGGUAAGUUGAGUGUAGCAGUGACUUGGACAAAGCUGGUGCAGGCCUCCGGGAAUUCAACAUGCUGCUUCUCAUGUUCCAAGUGACCACCUUGACAGCUGAGGUCUAAAUCAUCUACUGUUCUUAUGGAUGUCUUGGGAAGUAGGAGAAGCCCUUAGUACAGGAAGGCAGUAUCUGUUAAGAGACAGGGAAUAGUGGUUAAUGAGAAUAUACAGAUUUAUAUAUUGGAUAGAAAGAUGAUCAGGGGAUACGUAUAUUUAUUUGUGUGGAACCUGAUCAUCAUGCAAAUGGUAUGGAAUAAAGGGUAGAGAUUGUACUGGGUCUGAGUAGGGUGGAAUUAAUUUUUUCUAUGCCAUACUUUGCCCUUUGUCACGGAGUUGACCAGAUCAAUCUAUGUCUGUGACAGGGGCAACAGGCCCCCACCCUCCCCUCCCACCCCAGCCCCACAAAAAUGGGAAGGAAGGAAGGGAGGAGAAGAACAAAGGCAACAAUCUAUAGAGGAAAACUUAUUUUACUAUAAUAUUGGAAUACAAGAUAACACAAUAUAUACAAUUUAAUUGAAAUUGAGAUUAAUAAAUCAGACAAGAUGAGAGAGAGAGAGUUCCUGGGACCGAGUCAAACCUGAAAAGCUUGGAACGGCCAGGAAAGCACCUCCAGCACCCACUGCAAGGCAGCAAGAGAGCGCCACCCCCACCCAGAAGGGCCAGAUCCCGUGACUGCUGUAAUGUACAGGGAUAGGAACUUGGAAUUGGGGCAUUAACACUUUAAUACCCUGUAUACUACAUGAUGUUUUGAUGUGGAAUACUGAAACCCCAAAACAAAAAAACAUAGAACCAUGACACCCUUGGAUUGUGAAUGGUGUUGGUAUCUCAUCAGUGUUUUGGCUCUUGUUGAGCAACGCGGGCACAUCACCAAGGCUUUGUCUCCUGCUCCCCUGCCAAAGAUCAGUAGGUUGAGAGUGGAGAAGAGGUGGGAUAGAGCUCAGACACCUGACCUAAACAGACCAAAGAGAUAUUCCAUACCAUAUGACGUCAUGCUCACCAAUAAAAUCUGGAGUAAUACUGGAGACACUUGUUACAAAGGCAUUUGUCUCCCAGACCAAUCACUGUGUGCAUAUAGGCCCUGCUUUCCAGGAAGUGGCUGAACUUGCUGUUGGAAGUAGAGAUUUUUUUUUUCUCCUUUUUCUUCCUUGUAUGGCCUGUGCUUUUCCUUUGCUAAACCAAUUCUCUCUCAAGUUUUCCUCCACUUCAUUGUCUUACUCCCUACAGCCCCGCUCAUUGUCCUGCUGUGGAAGAGGCGUGAGACACAGAGCAAGAAGCUUUGCAGCGCUUAGCUGCCUUCUGGGGUUAUACCACAACACUUGAGAGAACCAUGCUGUCAUGGUGACCCUUCAGCCUGACAGUAACCAGAUUCUUAAAAGGAAAAUAGAGAAAACACAAGAGAGUCACAUCUGGUCAGAACAUCCUGGUCAAGCCCAACCCUCUGAUUGAGGUCAGUGUCACUGACAUUGGCACCAGAGGGGCUCAUGCUGGAACCAAAGACAGAGAUGGGACAGGGAUAGCUGUCAAUGAAGGACCAAAGCUCACAUGCACCCUUUCCUGUGCUCUACACCACUCAGUACCGGGGUGGCUUGGAGCAGCUGCACAUGGCUGCGAGCUUCCUUCUUCCCAUUUCUCACACCAACCCUUACUCCUCACAUUCCUGAACUACUUCAGCUUUGGAAACAAGUUUCCAUCAUUUCCCACUAGGAUGGACACCCUAUAAUGGCCCACCUGAUGAGCCCUGAUUUGUUUUUUGGGCAUGGUUCAGUUCAGUUCAGUCCACGAGUUUUGUUCUCUGAGGGAAGAAUGGGAAAAGAGGAAAGUACAAAGGGUCACCUGGGAGCUCAGUGGGAGAAAGGAGAUGUCUGAAGACCCUCAGAGAAGAUGAAUUAGGAAAGACAAAAUCUUUUUUACAUCCGAAAUGAGGCAUCUUUCACAUUUGUCUUUUUUUUUUUUUUUUUUUUUAACGGUGGUGGAUUUAACAAACCUAUAUUGGAGUAAGGCUGAGUUCAUUGUAUAUCUCCUUUGCUCUUUCCCCAAUAACAUGAAUAUCUGUGCAUUUGCCUUAGUGCUUCGUCUUGUGGUCGUAUUUUGGUUGUUUGGUUGUUUGGUGUUGUUUGUGUGCUUCUCUCACAGAUUCGAGACUAUAAAGGGAGCAAGAACUUCAGAGACAUGCAUUUGUAGCACCACAAGUAGAAGUCUGGGAAAGCAGUAUAGUAAAUAAAGUAAUUGCUAGAGCUCUCA